UGAGUAACACGUGGGGAAUCUGCCUAUAAGUGGGGGAUAACAUUCGGAAACGGAUGCUAAUACCGCAUAUAUUCAAAAACCGCAUGGUUUCUGAAAGAAAGACGGCUUUACUGUCGCUUAUAGAUGAUCCCGCGGCGUAUUAGUUAGUUGGUGGGGUAAUGGCCUACCAAGACCAUGAUACGUAGCCGACCUGAGAGGGUGAUCGGCCACACUGGGACUGAGACACGGCCCAGACUCCUACGGGAGGCAGCAGUAGGGAAUCUUCCACAAUGGGUGCAAACCUGAUGGAGCAAUGCCGCGCGAAUGAAGAAGGUCUUCGGAUCGUAAAGUUCUGUUAUUAGAGAAGAACAAGUCAAGGAGUAACUGUCUUGACUUUGACGGUACCUAACCAGAAAGUCACGGCUAACUACGUGCCAGCAGCCGCGGUAAUACGUAGGUGACAAGCGUUGUCCGGAAUUAUUGGGCGUAAAGGGAGCGCAGGCGGUUGGAAUAGUCUGAUGUGAA
rnacentral:rRNA from 1 species